ACACCUCAACCCUCCAAUGUUUUUGCAUUGGAGGUGUUGGUAGUGAGCGCUGCCGGACUUUGGGUCGGCUCGCUUUAAAAUCAUUAGCUGGAUCCAUUCUGACCUGGUUCUACUCGGCGUAAUAAGUUAUUAUCGUCGAGGACGCUUGUCUUUCUAGGCAGGCGGCCACAGUAAGGGUGUUUGAACCGCUUCCAACGACACGUCUUGCUCUCGGAGCAAGCGUCUUUGAAC
rnacentral:misc_RNA from 1 species